rnacentral:rRNA from 1 species
UACGGAGGGUGCAAGCGUUAUCCGGAUUCACUGGGUUUAAAGGGUGCGUAGGUGGGCAGGUAAGUCAGUGGUGAAAUCUCCGAGCUUAACUCGGAAACUGCCGUUGAUACUAUUUGUCUUGAAUAUUGUGGAGGUAAGCGGAAUAUGUCAUGUAGCGGUGAAAUGCUUAGAGAUGACAUAGAACACCUAUUGCGAAGGCAGCUAACUACGCAAAUAUUGACGCUGAGGCACGAAGGCCAGGGGAGCAAACGGG